CGGUCCAGACUCCUACGGGAGGCAGCAGUAGGGAAUAUUGCGCAAUGGGGGAAACCCUGACGCAGCAACGCCGCGUGGAGGAUGACACUUUUCGGAGCGUAAACUCCUUUUCUUAGGGAAGAAUUCUGACGGUACCUAAGGAAUAAGCACCGGCUAACUCCGUGCCAGCAGCCGCGGUAAUACGGAGGGUGCAAGCGUUACUCGGAAUCACUGGGCGUAAAGGGCGCGUAGGCGGAUUAUCAAGUCUCUUGUGAAAUCUAAUGGCUUAACCAUUAAACUGCUUGGGAAACUGAUAGUCUAGAGUGAGGGAGAGGCAGAUGGAAUUGGUGGUGUAGGGGUAAAAUCCGUAGAUAUCACCAAGAAUACCCAUUGCGAAGGCGAUCUGCUGGAACUCAACUGACGCUAAGGCGCGAAAGCGUGGGGAGCAAACAGGAUUAGAUACCCUGGUAGUCCACGCCCUAAACGAUGUACACUAGUUGUUGGGGUGCUAGUCAUCUCAGUAAUGCAGCUAACGCAUUAAGUGUACCGCCUGGGGAGUACGGUCGCAAGAUUAAAACUCAAAGGAAUAGACGGGGACCCGCACAAGCGGUGGAGCAUGUGGUUUAAUUCGAAGAUACGCGAAGAACCUUACCUGGGCUUGAUAUCCUAAGAACCUUUUAGAGAUAAGAGGGUGCUAGCUUGCUAGAACUUAGAGACAGGUGCUGCACGGCUGUCGUCAGCUCGUGUCGUGAGAUGUUGGGUUAAGUCCCGCAACGAGCGCAACCCACGUAUUUAGUUGCUAACGGUUCGGCCGAGCACUCUAAAUAGACUGCCUUCGUAAGGAGGAGGAAGGUGUGGACGACGUCAAGUCAUCAUGGCCCUUAUGCCCAGGGCGACACACGUGCUACAAUGGCAUAUACAAUGAGACGCAAUACCGCGAGGUGGAGCAAAUCUAUAAAAUAUGUCCCAGUUCGGAUUGUUCUCUGCAACUCGAGAGCAUGAAGCCGGAAUCGCUAGUAAUCGUAGAUCAGCCAUGCUACGGUGAAUACGUUCCCGGGUCUUGUACUCACCGCCCGUCACACCAUGGGAGUUGAUUUCACUCGAAGCCGGAAUACUAAACUAGUUACCGUCCACAGUGGAAUCAGCGACUGGGGUGAAGUCGUAACAAGGUAACCGUAGGAGAACCUGCGGUUGGAUCACCUCCUUUCUA
rnacentral:rRNA from 1 species